GAUGAACGCUGGCGGCGUGCCUAAUACAUGCAAGUCGAGCGAACAGAUGAGGAGCUUGCUCCUCUGACGUUAGCGGCGGACGGGUGAGUAACACGUGGAUAACCUACCUAUAAGACUGGGAUAACUUCGGGAAACCGGAGCUAAUACCGGAUAAUAUAUUGAACCGCAUGGUUCAAUAGUGAAAGACGGUUUUGCUGUCACUUAUAGAUGGAUCCGCGCCGCAUUAGCUAGUUGGUAAGGUAACGGCUUACCAAGGCAACGAUGCGUAGCCGACCUGAGAGGGUGAUCGGCCACACUGGAACUGAGACACGAUCCAGACUCCUACGGGAGGCAGCAGUAGGGAAUCUUCCGCAAUGGGCGAAAGCUUGACGGAGCAACGCCGCGUGAGUGAUGAAGGUCUUCGGAUCGUAAAACUCUGUUAUUAGGGAAGAACAAAUGUGUAAGUAACUAUGCACGUCUUGACGGUACCUAAUCAGAAAGCCGCGGCUAACUACGUG
rnacentral:rRNA from 1 species